rnacentral:rRNA from 1 species
UACGUAGGGUGCAAGCGUUGUCCGGAAUUAUUGGGCGUAAAGAGCUCGUAGGCGGUUUGUUGCGUCGGCUGUGAAAUCCCGAGGCUCAACCUCGGGUCUGCAGUCGAUACGAGCAAACUAGAGUGUUGCAGGGGGAGACUGGAAUUCCUGGUGUAGCGGUGAAAUGCGCAGAUAUCAGGAGGAACACCGGUGGGCGAAGGCGGGUCUCUGGGCAACAACUGACGCUGGAGGAGCGAAAGCGUGGGGAGCGAACAGG